UGAGGAAUAUUGCGCAAUGGGGGCAACCCUGACGCAGCAACGCCGCGUGAGUGAGGAAGGUUUUCGGACCGUAAAGCUCUGUCGAGCGGGAAGAAAUGCAUAGUGGCUAAUAUCCAUUAUGCUUGACGGUACCGCUAAAGGAAGCACCGGCUAACUCCGUGCCAGCAGCCGCGGUAAUACGGGGGGUGCUAGCGUUGUUCGGAAUCAUUGGGCGUAAAGCGCGUGUAGGCGGCUGGAUAAGUCAGAUGUGAAAGCCCUGGGCUUAACCCAGGAAGUGCAUUGGAAACUG
rnacentral:rRNA from 1 species